AGAGUUUGAUCCUGGCUCAGAACGAACGCUGGCGGCGUGGAUAAGACAUGCAAGUCGAGCGCUGAUUGCGAGGUAGCAAUAUUUCGCAGUCGGAGCGGCGCAAGGGUGCGUAACACGUGGGCAAUCUACCGUGAAGUUGGGGAUAACUUGCUGAAAGGCGAGCUAACACCGAAUGUGAAAAUUGGAUGGCAUCACCUGAUUUUCAAAGCUGGGGACCGUAAGGCCUGGCGCUUCAUGAUGGGCCCGCGGCCUAUCAGCUAGUUGGUGAGGUAACGGCUCACCAAGGCUAAGACGGGUAGCUGGUCUGAGAGGACGACCAGCCACACUGGAACUGAGACACGGUCCAGACACCUACGGGUGGCAGCAGUCGAGAAUUUUUCACAAUGGGCGCAAGCCUGAUGGAGCGACGCCGCGUGGGGGAUGAAUGGCUUCGGCCCGUAAACCCCUGUCAUUCGGGAUCAAUCCCUCUGACCUAACACGUCCGAGGUUGAUAGUACCGGAAGAGGAAGGGACGGCUAACUCUGUGCCAGCAGCCGCGGUA
rnacentral:rRNA from 1 species